rnacentral:rRNA from 1 species
GAUGAACGCUGGCGGCGUGCCUAAUACAUGCAAGUCGAGCGAACGGACGAGAAGCUUGCUUCUCUGCUGUUAGCGGCGGACGGGUGAGUAACACGUGGAUAACCUACCUAUAAGACUGGGAUAACUUCGGGAAACAGGAGCUAAUACCGGAUAAUAUUUUGAACCGCAUGGUUCAAAAGUGAAAGACGGUCUUGCUGUCACUUAUAGAUGGAUCCGCGCUGCAUUAGCUAGUUGGUAAGGUAACGGCUUACCAAGGCAACGAUGCAUAGCCGACCUGAGAGGGUGAUCGGCCACACUGGAACUGAGACACGGUCCAGACUCCUACGGGAGGCAGCAGUAGGGAAUCUUCCGCAAUGGGCGAAAGCCUGACGGAGCAACGCCGCGUGAGUGAUGAAGGUCUUCGGAUCGUAAAACUCUGUUAUUAGGGAAGAACAUAUGUGUAAGUAACUGUGCACAUCUUGACGGUACCUAAUCAGAAAGCCACGGCUAACUACGUG